rnacentral:snoRNA from 1 species
GACAUGAUUUGUGGACAAAGACAUAUAGAAAGGUGCAAAAAUAAAUCCUCUUUUGCAACCCAGAACUCAUUGUUCAGUAUGAGUUUUGAUACAGAUAAGAAGGAACAUG